rnacentral:rRNA from 1 species
AUGGAGGGAGCGGCGGCCAUGGAGAUGGAGGUGCAGGCGGCGCCCAAGGCCAAGUUCAGGAUUCCGGUGGACGACGACAGCAAGGCCACCGAGUUCUGGCUCUUCUCCUUCGCGAGGCCGCACAUGAGCGCCUUCCACCUCUCGUGGUUCUCCUUCUUCUGCUGCUUCGUCUCCACCUUCGCGGCGCCGCCGCUCAUGCCGCUCAUCCGGGACAACCUCGGCCUCACCGCCAAGGACAUCGGCAACGCCGGGGUCGCGUCCGUGUCGGGCGCCGUCUUCGCGCGCCUCGCCAUGGGCACGGCCUGCGACCUGGUCGGGCCCCGCCUGGCGUCGGCGGCCAUCAUACUGCUCACCACCCCCGCCGUCUACUGCACCUCCAUCAUCAAUUCGGCCUCCUCCUUCCUGCUCGCGCGCUUCUUCACCGGCUUCUCGCUCGCCUCCUUCGUGUCCACGCAGUUCUGGAUGAGCUCCAUGUUCUCGGCGCCCAAGGUGGGGCUGGCCAACGGCGUCGCGGGCGGCUGGGGCAACCUCGGCGGGGGCGCCGUGCAGCUCCUCAUGCCCUUCGUCUUUGAGGCCGUCCGCAAGAUGGGCAGCACCAAGUUCGUGGCGUGGCGCGUGGCCUUCUUCAUCCCGGGCAUCAUGCAGACGGUGUCGGCCAUCGCGGUGCUGGCGCUCGGGCAGGACAUGCCGGACGGCAACUACCGGAAGCUGCACAAGAGCGGGGAGAUGCACAAGGACAGCUUCGGCAACGUGCUGCGCCACGCGGUCACCAACUACCGCGCCUGGAUCCUGGCGCUCACCUACGGCUACAGCUUCGGCGUGGAGCUCGCCGUGGACAACAUCGUCGCCGAGUACUUCUACGACCGCUUCGACGUCAACCUCAAAACCGCCGGCCUCAUCGCCGCCACCUUCGGGCUGGCCAACAUCGUGUCCCGCCCAGGCGGCGGGCUCAUGUCCGACUGGCUGUCCCAGCGCUACGGCAUGCGCGGCAGGCUGUGGGGGUUGUGGGUGAUGCAGACCAUUGGCGGCGUCCUCUGCGUCGUGCUGGGCAUCGUCGACUACUCCUUCGGCGCCUCCGUGGCCGUCAUGAUACUCUUCUCCCUCUUCUGCCAGGCCGCGUGCGGCCUCACCUUUGGCAUCGUGCCCUUCGUGUCGCGCAGGUCGCUGGGGCUCAUCUCCGGCAUGACCGGCGGCGGCGGCAACGUGGGCGCCGUGCUCACGCAGGUCAUCUUCUUCAGGGGCGGCAAGUACAAGACGGAGACGGGGAUCAUGUACAUGGGUAUCAUGAUCCUCGCAUGCACGCUGCCCGUCGCCUUCAUCUACUUCCCGCAGUGGGGCGGCAUGCUCGCCGGGCCAAGGAAGGGGGCCACCGCCGACGACUACUACAACGGGGAGUGGACCGCCGAGGAGCGGGAGAAGGGGUACAACGCUGCCACCAAGCGUUUCGCCGAGAACAGCGUGCGCGAGGGCGGCCGGAGGGCGGCGUCGGGCAGCCGCUCAAGGCACACCGUCCCCGUCGACAGCUCGCCGGCGCCGGCCGACGUGUAA